rnacentral:rRNA from 1 species
CGCGGUAAUACAGAGGGUGCGAGCGUUGUUCGGAAUCACUGGGCGUAAAGCGCGCGCAGGCGGGACUUGCAAGUCGGGAGUGAAAGGCCGGGGCUCAACCGAGGAAUUGCACUCGAUACUGGCAGGCUAGAGUCAAGCAGAGGGAAGUGGAAUUCCCGGUGUAGCGGUGAAAUGCGCAGAUAUCGGGAAGAACACCGGUGGCGAAGGCGGCUUCCUGGGCUUGUACUGACGCUGAGGAGCGAAAGCUAGGGGAGCGAACAGG